rnacentral:rRNA from 1 species
AGAGUUUGAUCCUGGCUCAGGAUGAACGCUAGCGACAGGCUUAACACAUGCAAGUCGAGGGGCAGCACAGGUAGCAAUACCGGGUGGCGACCGGCGCACGGGUGAGUAACGCGUAUGCAACUUACCUAUCAGAGGGGGAUAACCCGGCGAAAGUCGGACUAAUACCGCAUGAAGCAGGGGCCCCGCAUGGGGAUAUUUGCUAAAGAUUCAUCGCUGAUAGAUAGGCAUGCGUUCCAUUAGGCAGUUGGCGGGGUAACGGCCCACCAAACCGACGAUGGAUAGGGGUUCUGAGAGGAAGGUCCCCCACAUUGGUACUGAGACACGGACCAAACUCCUACGGGAGGCAGCAGUGAGGAAUAUUGGUCAAUGGGCGCGAGCCUGAACCAGCCAAGUCGCGUGAGGGAUGAAGGUUCUAUGGAUCGUAAACCUCUUUUAUAAGGGAAUAAAGUGCGGGACGUGUCCCGUUUUGUAUGUACCUUAUGAAUAAGGAUCGGCUAACUCCGUGCCAGCAGCCGCGGUAAUACGGAGGAUCCGAGCGUUAUCCGGAUUUAUUGGGUUUAAAGGGUGCGUAGGCGGCCUUUUAAGUCAGCGGUGAAAGUCUGUGGCUCAACCAUAGAAUUGCCGUUGAAACUGGGGGGCUUGAGUAUGUUUGAGGCAGGCGGAAUGCGUGGUGUAGCGGUGAAAUGCUUAGAUAUCACGCAGAACCCCGAUUGCGAAGGCAGCCUGCCAAGCCAUGACUGACGCUGAUGCACGAAAGCGUGGGGAUCAAACAGGAUUAGAUACCCUGGUAGUCCACGCAGUAAACGAUGAUCACUAGCUGUUUGCGAUACAGUGUAAGCGGCACAGCGAAAGCGUUAAGUGAUCCACCUGGGGAGUACGCCGGCAACGGUGAAACUCAAAGGAAUUGACGGGGGCCCGCACAAGCGGAGGAACAUGUGGUUUAA